GUACACCUACGGGACGCAGCAGUAGGGAAUAUUGCUCAAUGGGGGAAACCCUGAAGCAGCAACGCCGCGUGGAGGAUGAAGGUUUUCGGAUUGUAAACUCCUUUUGUUAGAGAAGAUAAUGACGGUAUCUAACGAAUAAGCACCGGCUAACUCCGUGCCAGCAGCCGCGGUAAUACGGAGGGUGCAAGCGUUACUCGGAAUCACUGGGCGUAAAGAGCGCGUAGGCGGGAUAGCAAGUCAGAUGUGAAAUCCGGGGGCUCAACCCCCGAACUGCAUUUGAAACUGUUGGUCUUGAGUAUCGGAGG
rnacentral:rRNA from 1 species